UCUCAUCUGCCUCUCUCCCGCCUCACUUUUCUUCUCUCUCUCCCUCUUCACAUUCAACCCUUUCUUCAUCUCUCCUCUCACAUUUUAGUUUUUUGAAUUUUCUGCUCCUCAGAUCUCUCCCCUCCUGUAAAUUCUGGAUCAUUAACCUAGCGGAUAGCACAAUCACCGGAGAGUUUACCGGCGUGUUUGUCGGCGGAGUAAGGCACCUUAGGGAGUGCCUUACGGACCUUCUUUGUUCGUCGGAUCUGAAGCACCGCCAUUAGCAAAGCGCAGAGGAGAACGGCGAUUGUUUUGUCAUUUUAUCAACUCACAAAGAAAUCUGAUGGUGGUUAGGCGCUCUCUCUUCGAAAUCGCCGCCGCCGUCAUGCUUCAUCUCAUCAUAAUGUUUCAUCGCCGCCGCUGUCGGGUGAGUGAAUCCUGAAUUGAAACCUAACAUCAGAACUCGAAAGGUAGUAGUAGCUAUGGGGUCCUGGAUUUAAACCUUGAUUUCAUAAAAUCUUCCUUGAAUUUCAUAAUUUACGGAUUGAUUAUUGAUUUUGAUAUUUGGUGCUCAAAACCCUAACAGGUGAAUGCCGUGAAUCUCUAGGGUUUGUUUGAGAAAUUUUAUUUGUGCGAUUGAAGAAGAAAAUGGGUCACAGGCACGUAGUUCUUCCAGAUGAAGUUGCUAAACUUCUUCCAAAGAACUGCCUUCUGUUUGAGGUUUAGUACUUUCAAAAGAAUUUGGAACUGAAGCAAAGCCAGAUCGGUGUAGCAGCCUCAAUGACUGCAAAUUAGAGGGUUGUUCAUGUGUUAACAGAAUCUGCCAGUGUCAUAAAACCAGGGUGGUAGAAGAAGCUUAUUCAAAGAUACCAGCUCAACUAAAUGACAAGGCCAGACUUCAAUGUUCUGGAGACUGUAAAUGCAAAAAAACUGAAGUUGAAGCAGUAUAUCAAACCCUAGAUUUCACGCCUCCAGUCGCUGUCAUCGCAUCUUCUCCUUCCCGCUGCUCUUCUCCAUCUCCGCGAUCCCCUUUUUCCCUCAAUUGUCUGGAUCUGACUUCGGAGACUCCAUAUAGAAGUAUGAAUUUAUGCAUCUUUUUUUGUUAAUCUGAUUUCUAAAUUUUUAUAUAAUACUUCAAUUGAUCGAUUUCAAUUGAUUUUGGAUUAAAUUACAUUAAUUAGCAAGACACAAAUUCAAUCUCAAUUUAUUACCUUAAAUUUUAAUUA